GACUCCUCCAUCGGCUGUUCCUUCUAGUAGUCACUUGGGGAUGUCUGGGCUCAGAACAGUUCCCAUUUUUGCCAAGGAGUGGGUGACGUGGGCAGCCAGUGUGUCCCUCUCAAGGGUGGUGGCCUCCCCUCCCCCAACACCAGGCCUAGUUUGGGCCUGUAGUUUCGUUUGGUUAGGGAGGCCUGGCUGCUUGUGGGCCCAAAGAGAAACAUCUCUGCCUUGGCAUGUAGCUCUGAGUCAACAGGCCUUGAUAAACAGCCCAUUUCCCAGGGCCAGCGAGGAACAAAGCCCCUGGCUGCUGUGGGAUCUCUCUGCCCCCCUCUUCCUGAAACAGCUGUUUAUUCUUUUGACAGGAGUUGGAGGGCAGCACCUUCCCUUCCUCCAGCCCAGCCUCCUUCUGUAGAGCGGAGCUCAAUAGAACUGUGUUGUUUUGCCUUUUACUCUGCGGGGAGAGAAGCAGAUGAUGAGGUCAUUAAAAAGGAACCUGGCAAACCUGAGGAUGAGAAAACAAAAGAAAACCUUCCUGGUGCCCAUAAGGUUCAAGUCCUAUGCCUUGCACAUACCAAAAACAGAAAAUAAACUGUCCACUUUCUACAAUGUCCUUCAUCAUGAGGACACCCCAGCUCUUUAUGGAGAAUGCACAUGCACACACACACGCACAUCCACACGCAUGCAGAAAACCAGACUGAACCGACCCAGACCCUAUAAAACCCUGCACUGAAGGUUGAGAGCAUGACCCCCUGCCACCCAUAGGAAACUCUAGCAGCCUACUUGUAUGAUGCUUAGGGGGCCUAUACUUGCAAGUGCUCGCUUACCUGGGACACAUGGAAGGAUAACCUGAUGGCCCGAAUGGGGUUCUUUGGACAUGCCUGAAUGCUGUCUAUGAUUAGAGAAAGCCGACAAUGAGACCAUCCAAGGGACCAGAACCUAAGAAGCCCUCUGGUUCCAUCAGGAAAGCGCCAACUUUUGGGGAGGAACCAAUUCUCAGCUCCGUUGAGGAGAUACUCUGGUAUUUGGUUGGUUUGUUGCUACAGCUUUUGGUAUCUUUGCAUGAAACCAGCCCUGUUCUGAUUGGAAAUGGAAAACAACGGAUGGAUGGGAUCCAUAUGGGGUCACGCUACCUGGCAACUGGAGUUGUUUUCAUUAAAGGGGGAGAUUGGAACAUUGGGUCUUUCAUGACCUCUCCACAAGUAGGAGUGAGACAAAGGCUAGAGUUCAUUGGCAUCUUGUUUGUGUCCAUGUAUCCAUAUGUGUUCUAUGUGGAAGAAGUUUCCUCUGCCUCCAGAUGCCAUUGCAAACAACAGUUUGUAAAGGAACUGUAGCUCAUAAGUUGAAAGGCAGGCAUGGGUAAAAAUUGGGCACCAUACAGCUCAGAAAGAUAAAGAUGAGCCCCAGUGUUUUACAAGUUCCCAUGAUCUGGGAUGAAAUUCCUUACAUUUGGGAUGCCUGGGUGGCUCAACAGUUAAGCUUUUGCCUUUAGUUCAGGUGUGAUCCUGGGAUCCAGGAUCGAGCCCCACAUUGGGCUCCUUGUGUGAAGCCUGCUUCUCCCUCUGCCUGUGUCUCUUCCUCUCUCUCUCUCUUUCUGUGUCUCUCAUGAAUAAAUAAAUCUUUUAAAAAAUACCAAAAACUAAAUCUGCCUCAGGCCUUGCUGGCAGCUCCCCAGCCUCUCCUCCUCCCCUCUUCCUCCCCCUCCCCCUGUUUCUGCACCACUCCUGUGGCUGGAGUGGUCAGGUCAACUCUGCCACCCCAGGUGCCUCCAGCGCCAUUGCCCCCUCCACCUUCCCACCCCCAUCAAGGAGCAAAAAUCACUCCAAGCUGUUGGGCCACCUCCUUCUGAGGUUCACAUUGGAGUACCUCCCAAAUCAGCAAGCAGGAAGAGGCUGGGGCUCUCCUGGACUUAAACUGCCCACGGGAAGCCUGACAGUGGGAGUGGGGAACAAAUCAAUUGACUUUUUAGUGGACAAAGGGGCAACAUAUGGCUUUCAAGCCAAUUCAAAGUUGUUGGUUUAUUUUAAAAAGACGUAUCUUUGGAUAUAUCAACAUCACACAUUAUACAGAUAAUCAGCUUUGUCUCCCCUCCCCCUCCCCCAGUCCCCUCGAGUUGUAAAAUUGCUUGAUUUUUCACUUCUGUCUGCCUUACAAGCCCUUGGGGUGAGCAGUGGGAUGUGGGCACUCCUGUUAGUUUGUGAGCCUAGAAUGGUGGUGAUCGAAAUAGACUCCUCUGUCACCUUUAUACAAAGAAAUCAUGUUUGCUGUAUUGUUAUACAACAGGCACAAAAAAGAAAAUGAGAACGACUUAUGCUCUUGUUCCACCUGGACUGACCCUGACGCUGGAGGGUCCAGGCCGAGGGAGGGCCCUACUCAACUUUGCUGUUACCUUAUUGGAUUAGUUAAAUUGUACCUGUUGUGAUUUGUCCACAGAAACUACUUAAAAUGGCCGAUUUUGUCUGUCUCAUAUACUUUUCAUUGUUAAGACCAAAUAGGUAAAAUAAAAGAAAAAAUGUUAAUAGGUAAACAUUUACAAUAGCUUCCAAAGUCUUUGGUGACCUGAAAUUUGAAGUUGUGCUAGGUUAAUUGAUAAAUUGGGUUGAAUUCAUCAGAUUCCCCUAUCUUUUCAACAUAAGAUAAAAUACUAAAGCAUGAGUCACCCAAGGUGGUUUUUUGUUUUGUUUCAUUGUGUUUUCCUUCCUCUCUCCUUUUUCUUCCCUCCCCACUUUUUUCUUUUUGUCUUUUGUCUUAUUCAGGAAAACUGCAGAUACUUGGGUGUGUUAAUAAACAUGUUUCAUGCUUUCUUAAAAA